UACGGAGGAUCCAAGCGUUAUCCGGAAUCAUUGGGUUUAAAGGGUCCGUAGGCGGUUUGGUAAGUCAGUGGUGAAAGCCCAUCGCUCAACGGUGGAACGGCCAUUGAUACUGCCAGACUUGGAUUAUUAGGAAGUAACUAGAAUAUGUAGUGUAGCGGUGAAAUGCUUAGAGAUUACAUGGAAUACCAAUUGCGAAGGCAGGUUACUACUAAUGGAUUGACGCUGAUGGACGAAAGCGUGGGUAGCGAACAGG
rnacentral:rRNA from 1 species